rnacentral:misc_RNA from 1 species
CGAAACACUCUCACAAUUAGGUUCUCAAUUAUUUAUAAUAUUUUGGUGUAUUAGUGAUAAAACUAUGCAUGUUUCAGAUUAUCUUCAACGAGUUCAAUACAGCGAUAUAAAACUAACUCAAUGGGGUUCAAGGCACACAUUGUGUCCAAUGCUAGUUGGUCAUGAUCCUGCUGGUUUGCUGCCAUGACUCCUGUGGCUAAUGUACGCAAAGGAAGAAGCCAUUCGUUGUAAGCCUUCUGCAACAUGUCCUUCGAGAGCACUCCAGUAUAGUUCGUUUUUCCUGUUGACUCUCUGAUCACUACAAACCGAUAGAGAUUGAGCGCUGAUAAAACAGCAUCACCGUACUCGGGAAGAG